rnacentral:lncRNA from 1 species
GAGCUCAGCUCAGGGCACGGAUGAAGAGGUCAACAAUGCUGAGACCAGUGAUGUACCAGCAGAUUCUGAACAACAACCCGUGGACUCGGGUUCAGAUCCACCUUCUGCUGAUGCAGAUGCAGAGAAUGUUCAAGAGGGUGAAUCAGCCCCACCAGCAAAUGAAGAGCCUCCUGCCACUUCUGGGAGUGAAGAGGAACAGCAGCAGCAGGAACCCACACAGGCAGAGAAUCAAGAGCCUCCUGCCACCUCUGGGAGUGAAGAGGAACAGCAGCAGCAGGAACCCACACAGGCAGAGAAUCAAGAGCCUCCUGCCACCUCUGGGAGUGAAGAGGAACAGCAGCAGCAGGAAUCCACACAGGCAGAGAAUCAAGAGCCUUCUGACUCUGCUGGGGAAGGACAGGAAACUCAACCUGAGGAAGGAAAUGUAGAGUCACCUCCCUCUUCUCCUGAAAACUCACAAGAACAACCACAGCAAACAAAUCCAGAGGAGAAACCGCCUGCUCCUAAGACUCAGGAAGAGCCACAGCACUAUAGAGGUCGUCCUCCAAAGAAGAUUUUUCCUUUUUUCAUUUACAGAGGAA